UACGCUCAGAGUCCCCAUCUGGUUUCAACCUGCCUCUUCCCCUCUGCCCCCCCCAUCUUCCCUGAAUUCCAGCCUCCAGGGUGGUACCCAUGUUCCGGGACCCACUUCUGAGUGCCAGCCGGAGCCCAUGCAAGGACCUCUCCUUGGGGCCCAUUGUGUCUCUCGGGGGAACUUGACACUGUCUGGAGACCACUUGGCUUGCUGCUGAGGUCUGAAGGAGCCCAAACAGACGGAGACAGUUGGCCGGACUGGCAAGGAGUGCUGCUGUGGGUGGCGCCCAGGGGUGUCGCUACAUCCUGCUGUGUCCAGGACAGCCCCACAACGAGGAAUUGUCAGCCCCAAAGGUCAGUCGUGCUGAGAUGGAGGAACCCCGCCCCAAAGGCUUACCCCCAUGGACAAGCAUCACAGCAAAUCUGGGAAGCUCCUUAGACAUGUAGACUCCUGGGCCCCACCCCAGACCAUGUACAUCAGACUCUGCGUUUGAGCAGCGCCCCCCAGAGGAGUUCUGUGUUCGUUUGAGACCCAGACUGCACAGUGAGGUAGCCAGGGCUUGCGUGGAUUACACAUGUGGAUAACAGUUGCCAUGAAGGCAACAGCUCCAGGAGUUCCCACUGUGACGCAGUGGGUUCAUGAUCCAGCUUGUCUCUGUGGAGGUGCCGGUUCGAUCCCCCACCCGGAUCAGGGGGUGAAGGUUGCUGCAGCUGUGGUGUAAGUUGCAGCUCUGGCUUGGUUUGGACUGGAUCCCUGGCUCAGGAACUUCCACGUGUUGCACUGAGGAUGAAAAAGGGAAAGAGGGAAGGAAGAGGGAGGGAGAAGGAAGGAAGGAGGCAUGAAAGCAAGCGCUACAGAGAAAAGCAAUUGAAAAACUAAAGCUUUACAGAUCACAUGUAUUAAAUAAAGUCUGCUUUGCAAAGACUGUGUAAUCUCCC
ensembl:lncRNA